UACGAAGGGUGCAAGCGUUAAUCGGAAUUACUGGGCGUAAAGAGCGUGUAGGCGGCCAGACAGGUCCGUUGUGAAAACUCGAGGCUCAACCUCGAGAUGUCGAUGGAAACCGUCUGGCUAGAGUCCGGAAGAGGAGUGUGGAAUUCCUGGUGUAGCGGUGAAAUGCGCAGAUAUCAGGAAGAACACCGAUGGCGAAGGCAGAUCUCUGGGCCGUAACUGACGCUGAGGAGCGAAAGCAUGGGGAGCGAACAGG
rnacentral:rRNA from 1 species